UACGUAGGUGGCAAGCGUUGUCCGGAAUUAUUGGGCGUAAAGCGCGCGCAGGCGGUUCUUUAAGUCUGAUGUGAAAGCCCACGGCUCAACCGUGGAGGGUCAUUGGAAACUGGAGAACUUGAGUACAGAAGAGGAAAGCGGAAUUCCACGUGUAGCGGUGAAGUGCGUAGAGAUGUGGAGGAACACCAGUGGCGAAGGCGGCUUUCUGGUCUGUAACUGACGCUGAGGCGCGAAAGCGUGGGGAGCAAACAGG
rnacentral:rRNA from 1 species